rnacentral:rRNA from 1 species
GAGUCGGACCUGCCCGGUGAAAUAUUUUUAACGGCCGCGGUAUCCUGACCGUGCGAAGGUAGCAUAAUAAUUUGCUCUAUAAUUGAGGGCUGGUAUGAAUGGUUUGACGUGAGCGAUACUGUCUCUAUAUUAAUUCUUUAGAAUUUGAUUUCUAGGUGAGGAAACCUAGAUUAUAUUAAAAGACGAGAAGACCCUAUUGAGCUUUAAAGAAUUUAGUAGGAAUAAAAUGUAAUAUGUAUAAAUAUUAUCUGUUAAAAAUUUUGGUUGGGGCGACUAAGGAACAGGCAAAGCUUCUUUUGUGAAAAAGUUUUACAGAUGUUGAUCCAUUUUUUUGAUUUAAGGAAUUAGUUACCAUAGGGAUAACAGCAUAAUUCUUUUUAAGAGUUCAUAUCGAAAAAAGAGUUUGUGACCUCGAUGUUGGACUAAAAUGUCCUAAAGAUGUAGUAGUCUUUAAGGGUUGGUC